CUUGUAGUCUCCAUUCCCACAUGCCCCUCCUGGUUGAACUUUCUGUUCUGAAUGUGAGCUGGACAAAGAUGUGUGUGGACGUUUUCAUACAACAUGGGUCCUAAAGGCACAAGCCAACCAUUUCAUCUAGGAUCCAAACAAAUGAUGACUGUUCUACAAGUGAAGGAAAACAAGAUUAUUGAACUAUUCCAAGACUUUAUACCCUUCUGAGGAAUAUUUCUUUUUUCUUUUUUUUUUAUUUUUUAGUUAUUGGCGGACACAUCAUCUUUAUUUGUAUGUGGUGCUGGGGAUCGAACCUGGGCCGCACGCAUGCCAGGCGAGCGCGCCACCGCUUGAGCCACAUCCCCAGCCCCUGAGGAAUAUUUCAAGGGUGAUUUUGACCCUGUGUUAUGACUUUACACCUAUCCUUCACAUGAUAUGUAAUGUGAUGGAUAUAAAAUCUCAAGGAAAAUACUGUGAUUGUCCAGAGGAAGUAGGAACUAUCUUUAAAAGGUCGAUGGAGGCUUUACAGAAGAAACAAAUAUUUUGGUAGAGCCUAAGUCAGGAGAUGUGGAAGGCAGGUGUUAAAUCUACUUAAGUUUUGGAGUCUACAUAGUGAACUGCAACUGAGUAUGGUAUAUAAACAAAUUGCAAAAAAGAGUACAUUCUUGUAACAAAUAGCUGAAUUCCAGCCAAUCACAGCAGUCAAGCUUCAGCCAAUCAUAGACUGCCAACUCAUCACACUAUGCCCAAAUAAGGCAAAUACAGAGCUAUAACCAAUCAAGCUGUUUCUGUAUGGCACUUCCUUUUCCUGUGUGUAAAUACUGCCUACUGGUGUGGCUGGAUGGAAGUGUCUGAACCUCUCCUAGUUCUGAGUGCUGCCCAGUUCAUGAAUCAGUCUUUUCACAAAUAAGC
rnacentral:lncRNA from 1 species